CUAAGUCAGCCAGUGACCUCUCAGAAGAUCUGUUCAAAGUACACGAUUUUGAUGUGAAGAUUGACUUACAAGUUCCCAGCUCAGAGUCAAAGGCUUUAGCCAUCACCUCCAAGGCUCCGCCAGCCAAGGAUGGGGCUCCAAGGAGAUCUCUGAACUUGGAAGACUACAAAAAACGACGAGGGCUUAUUUGAGCACACCCAGCCUGCUGCUUCUGACCCUGCAUGCCCCAUCGCAGCGUCCCACCUUUCCUCCUUUCCUUUGAUUUAGCCUCUUUGGGCUGGAGCAGCUGUUGAACUGGGAAGAGACUCUAAACUGCCAGUCAUCUGUAAUAUAAACCAUUUGCUGUAUAGACCUCCUUUGUCUGCACACCAUCUCCCACCAGCCUCCCCUCCCCCAGGGCCCCACCCAGUGUGGGCCUGGGCUCUCUUGGGCUUUAUCCAUGUCUUUAGAUUUGUGUUUGCCUUUUGUUUUUUUAACCGCGCAGUUCAUUGGCCACUCUGCACGCAUUCAGUAUUACCAUGGAGCUGGGAAUCUUGCUGGAGCCCCUGGGGCAAUAGCAGCAGCACCAGGCGGUCUCCUCUACAGACUGCCUUGGCCCACCCAUUGAACAUUCGGCACGUGACCUUGUGGGGGGAGCGGGGAUUGGGCACCUGCGAUCCUCUUUCCUCUCUUCAUCUUUCUCUUCUGCCCUUCUUUUUGGAAGAAGGGGUUUCAAAACCAGUUUAGUUUCCAAAAAGUGUACAUUUGUGGGGGGGGGGGGUCUAAUUUGAGAGCGAGAGUGUGUAUGUGUGUGUGUGUAAGUGUGUGGAUUUUUUUAUCAUUUUUUUAAAAUGCAGUACUCUUUGUAUCAGUCUGUCAUGGGUCUAUAGCUGUUUCAGAUUUUUUUCAGCUGUACUUGAGCAUCUGAAACUGCAAGAAAGAAACUCAUUAAAUGUGAUUCUUCUUACUAAACAGGCCUGACUGCUGUAGCUGUGUAACUUCCCCAUUCCCACCUACUCUUCCCAUCCUUUCCCAACUUUGGAGAAAACUCCCCAGUUUAGCCCCCUGACCUGCAGGCUGUGUCCUGGCAGGUGUGGGAGGGAAGCCCAUGGCCAGGUACCAGGGAGGGCAGUGAAUGUCUUGCUCUUCCCAUGGGUACAGCCCACAGCUUCUUGGCUGAACGUAGAACUUCUUUUUCUCACCCAGUAUACCAGCCUCUUCCUGGUGAUUCUGUUUUGCUGCUUUGGCAAGAACUACAUUUUGUUUUUAAGAGAAAUUUCUGAAUAUGAAUGUGGAGAGCAAACACAAAAAGAUUUAGGUUACGCCGGGUGCAGUAGCUCACGCCUGUAAUCCCAGCACUUUGGGAGGCCUAGGCGGGUGGAUCACCUGAGGUCAGGAGUUCAAGACCAAUCUGACUAACACGGUGAAACCCCAUCUCUACUAAAACUACAAAACUUAGCCGGGCAUGGUGGUGCGUGCCUGUAAUCCCAGCUACUCGGGGGGCUGAGACAGGAGAAUCCCUUGAACCUGGGAGGCGGAGGUUGUGGUGAGCCAAGAUCGUGCCACUGCACUCCAGUCUGGGUGACAGAGUGAGACUCCGCCUCAAAAAGAUUUAGGUUGCAAAUGUUUCAAGCAUGUGCAGUUUUGUGUGUGUGUAUACAUAUAUAUGGUCAGCAUAUAUAUUGUGCAGCUAGGGCGAAGCCAGCAGAGGUGUGUGUAUGUCUUUAUGAAAUGUUUGAAAAGAGAUAAACUGACUGCUUGAUAAUCACUCUCAGGUGUAAAGCUCCAAGUGUAAAUAAAAGUGGCAUUUAACAAAUCUUUCAGAACAAAGUACAGCUGACUAUAUAUACCAAGAGCUAAGCUAAAGGAACAGCUGAGAGCUCCGAUCUCCACGAGAGACUAAUCUAAAAGCUCUGCUUUGUACUUCCUCACCCUGCUUUCGUACAAGGAAGGGGGACGAUGGGAAAUCAUGGACUUGUAAGUUGUAUUUAAACAUAAAAAUGAACUUGGUAACUUCUGGGUUUAGUAGAGCCUCAGUGUCGCUUUAACUUAGUUUACUUUUUUUUUAUUUUUAAAGCAGCAAUGGAUGGUUUUAAAGGAGUAUUAUGAUUGUAAAAUUGCUAAAUAUGACUGUAACACAGCUUUGUGGUAGCUGUGACACAGUUCACUUGGGCAAAGGAGUGGUGAUGGACUCGUUAAAAUCAUAUAUACUUGAAUAGUCCAUUGACCGAAACUCUUUAUAGACUAUUGUGUAAAUGUGGAAUCACAGACUGUUAACAUUGCCUGGACUUCAGCAGAGUCCUGGAGCUGCUGGGACCUCUCCUAUCAUGAUGAACUUGGACUUUUUUUUUUGAUUUCUGGUUUUAAAAAACAUAAAAUUAUAGAAUCCAGAUAAUUCGCUGGAGUCAUUCUGAUCCACCAUGUAGAUCUGUAUUUAGUAUCAUUUGGAUUUGGAGAAGUGUUGAUUACAUUAUGGCUGUGUAAUAAAAUUUUUAUU
rnacentral:lncRNA from 1 species